AGGAUGAACGCUGGCGGCGUGCUUAACACAUGCAAGUCGAACGAUGAACUGGAGCUUGCUCCGGGGAUUAGUGGCGAACGGGUGAGUAACACGUGAGUAACCUGCCCUUGACUCUGGGAUAAGCACUGGAAACGGUGUCUAAUACCGGAUAUGACCUUCAGCCUGACAGUC
rnacentral:rRNA from 1 species